UACGUAGGGUGCGAGCGUUGUCCGGAAUUAUUGGGCGUAAAGGGCUCGUAGGCGGUCUGUUGCGUCAGGAGUGAAAACUCGGGGCUUAACCCCGAGCCUGCUUCUGAUACGGGCAGACUAGAGGUAUGCAGGGGAGAACGGAAUUCCUGGUGUAGCGGUGAAAUGCGCAGAUAUCUGGAGGAACACCAGUGGCGAAGGCGGCUUCCUGGCCUGCAACUGACGCUGAGACGCGAAAGCGUGGGGAGCGAACCGG
rnacentral:rRNA from 1 species